rnacentral:lncRNA from 1 species
UGUGUUAUUUUUUCUUGGCUUCGUUUCAUAAGCUCUGCCUUGUCUUUUUGCCUGAAUUAUUUCUCUUCUCAUGUUGCAAUAUUUUAUUGUUGUAGGGAACCUUAUAUUGUUUUUGAAACAGGUUGGGUAUAAGCAUAAAAUCUGAUAAUAGCUUCACGCAAGAUAAGACCCACAGCUUAGAAUUCUGGCCAGCCACUGGUACCAGCAUUGUAACUCCCUAAGGAAGAGCUCCCAGGGGGACAGGCAGGCCUCCAUCUUUACUGUUCAGGUACAUUAGCUGUUCCAGCAUGAAUCUAUAAUAUUGAUUAUGGAAAAUUGCAUUUGGCAAAGACUGAAAAAAAAAUAAAAAAUAGCCGAGCAUGGUGGUGUUUGUCUUUAGUCCCAGUUACUCGGGAGGCUGGGGUGGGAGGAUCAUUUAAGCCUGGGUGGUUAACGCUGCAUU